ensembl:snRNA U6 U6 spliceosomal RNA
GUGCUGGCUUCUGCAGCACAUAUACUAAUAUUGGAAAGAUACAGAGAAGAUUAGCAUGACCCCUGCCCAAGGAUGACAUGCAAAUUCACGAAGCAUUCCUUUUUUUU